GACGAACGCUGGCGGCGUGCUUAACACAUGCAAGUCGAACGAUGAAGCCCAGCUUGCUGGGUGGAAGAGUGGCGAACGGGUGAGUAACACGUGAGUAACCUGCCCUUAACUCUGGGAUAAGCACUGGAAACGGUGUCUAAUACUGGAUACGACCUAUCACCGCAUGGUGUGUGGGUGGAAAGAUUUAUCGGUUCUGGAUGGACUCGCGGCCUAUCAGCUAGAUGGUGAGGUAAUGGCUCACCAUGGCGACGACGGGUAGCCGGCCUGAGAGGGUGACCGGCCACACUGGGACUGAGACACGGCCCAGACUCCUACGGGAGGCAGCAGUGGGGAAUAUUGCACAAUGGGCGCAAGCCUGAUGCAGCAACGCCGCGUGAGGGAUGACGGCCUUCGGGUUGUAAACCUCUUUUAGUAGGGAAGAAGCGAAAGUGACGGUACCUGCAGAAAAAGCACCGGCUAACUACGUG
rnacentral:rRNA from 1 species